GUCUCAAAGAUUAAGCCAUGCAUGUCUAAGUAUAAGCAAUCUAUACGGUGAAACUGCGAAUGGCUCAUUAAAUCAGUUAUCGUUUAUUUGAUAGUACCUUACUACACGGAUAUCUGUGGUAAUUCUAGAGUUAAUACGUGCUAAAAACCCCGACUCCGGGAGGGGUGUAUUUAUUAGACUAAAAACCAAUGCCCUUCGGGGCUCCUUGGUGAUUCAUAAUAACUCAACGAAUCGCAUGGCCUUGCGCCGGCGAUGGUUCAUUCAAAUUUCUGCCCUAUCAACUUUCGAUGCUAGGGUAGUGGCCUAGCAUGGUUACAACGGGUAACGGGGGAUUAGGGUUCUAUUCCGGAGAGGGAGCCUGAGAAACGGCUACCACAUCCAAGGAAGGCAGCAGGCGCGCAAAUUACCCAAUCCCGACACGGGGAGGUAGUGACAAUAAAUACUGAUACAGGGCUCUUUUGGGUCUUGUAAUUGGAAUGAGUACGAUUUAAACACCCUAACGAGGAACAAUUGGAGGGCAAGUCUGGUGCCAGCAGCCGCGGUAAUUCCAGCUCCAAUAGCGUAUAUUAAAGUUGUUGCAGUUAAAACGCUCGUCGUUGAACCUUGGGCCUGGGCGACCGGUCUCCCUCACCGGAUGCACUGGUUCGGCCGGGCCUUUCCUUCUGGGGAAUCGCAUGCCCUUCGCUGGGCGUGUCGAGGAUCCAGGACUUUUACUUUGAAAAAAUUAGAGUGUUCAAAGCAGGCCUUUGCUCGAAUACCUUAGCAUGGAAUAAUAGAAUAGGACGUGCGGUCCUAUUUUGUUGGUUUCUAGGACCGCCGUAAUGAUUAAUAGGGUCAGUUGGGGGCAUCAGUAUUCAAUUGUCAGAGGUGAAAUUCUUAGAUUUAUUGAAGACUAACUACUGCGAAAGCAUUUGCCAAAGAUGUUUUCAUUAAUCAGUGAACGAAAGUUAGGGGAUCGAAGACGAUCAGAUACCGUCGUAGUCCUAACCAUAAACUAUGCCGACUAGGGAUCGGGCGAUGUUAUCAUUUUGACUCGCUCGGCACCUUACGAGAAAUCAAAGUGUUUGGGUUCUGGGGGGAGUAUGGUCGCAAGGCUGAAACUUAAA
rnacentral:rRNA from 1 species